CACAUUUUCUUUACUGAAUGUGCAAUGUUUUGUAACACAUAUUUUAAUUUUAUGCUAACAGUAUGUUUAGUGAUGAAGUUUGUCUUGGUAAUUACCUAAUAUUCAUAUGACCUCAAGAGGUAACUUUGAAACGCUUCUGAAUUCCUACCUGAGGGCUCUGUAUGACUUUGAACUUGGGGGAACAAGUGCAGUGAGUAUAGCACUGAUCUGGUAAUUGGAAGUUUCUUCUUGAUCCCAAGAAGGGAUCAAAUUCAGCCUCUGUCAUUCAUAAACCACAUGAACCUGGCCAGGCCAUUUCCUUUCAGAGUCUCCAUUUAAAACUAGUGUGCAUGCCUGCUGGGCACCACCUUUUCCUGCCUCCUCGUGCCUCUGUGCACAGAUUCACUGACCUCCUGAAACCCCACAGCACUGUUAUGCACCCAGAUGAAUUUGCUGCUGUGUAUAGUCAAGUUGUGCAAGCAUCAGCACGACUGACUUCAGAAGAGACCCUGCGUGAAAGUUAGCUGUCAUCCCGACCCCCUACCUCCAGCUCCAGUCAGCCCCUAUUUUACUGCCUGAUCUACAGACUUGCCUAUUCUGGACGUUUCCUAUGAAAGGAAUUAUAUAAUAUAGGAUUACUUCUCAAGACCUUGACACAGCAACCUGUUGUGAGGGAAAUGAUAUGGGUCAAUAUGUAAAUAAUGUGGAGAAGUGUGUCCAGAGCAUCUUGUGUUCCCCAGCCUGGUGGCACACACACAUUCUGCAGUUUCUGCCUCACUGGUGUGAUU